rnacentral:lncRNA from 1 species
GCAUUCACAACCACAACAAUGUUUGGCUGUCGGAGUCCCAGGAGAAAAAUCUUCCUGAGGCCUCCCCAGAAGCAGAUGCUGGAACAACCCGCAGAACCAUGAGCCACAUAUACCUGUUUCUUCAUAUACUAUCCAGCCUCAGGUGUUCCUUAUAGCAACGCAAGACAGACGAAUACACCAGCCACAUUAAGAGAUGGGUUUUCACCAUUGUCUCGUCUGGUCUUGAACGCCUGAGCUCAAGCCAUUCGCCUGCCUCGGCCUCUCAAAGUGCUGGGAUUACAGGCAUAAGCCACCAUGCCUGGCCUCAAAAGAAUUAAAACGGUUAAUGAGUUAAAACAAGAUUAAGUCUGUACAUUAUAUAAUGUAGAAGCUUCUGUGGAAAACUCCCCAGCCCUAUGUGGACGACAUCACAUCUGAUUUAUCCUUGUGGUCUACACCGCUGGGUGCUCAGCCUUCUCCUGAGAGAUGCUGUGAAACUUCUCUACCACCUGGAACAGGAGAAGGGAGGCCCAUGUGGGGGCAGAGACCUCUGUCCAGAGUCCAGUGGCAGCUGGUAAGGAUUUUUCAUGCAAGGAAUAGCUUAGAAGAGACAACAGUUAUUGGCUGAUUUUGAUGAAGGAUUAAAAUUAAAAUAUCUCAGCCACUUCCUACUCAAUGUAUCCUAUACAUUUUCUUGUUAAUCUAACAUGCAGUUUACUUUCUGGGUGAUAGCUCAUUAGUUCAGAGGAGAAUUGCUAGUUAUGGGAGAUACUACUUCCUGUUGAGUAGGGCAACUAGCUCUGCGAUAGCUUUUAUUGGACUGCUCAUAUUUUGAAAUACAAUGUUGUUUUACUAAUCGUUGUUUAUUCAACAUCCUUGAACACUGGCUUUAUGUGAGAUAAACUUAAGAAUCAGGGUUUAAUCAUAGUUUUCUUAGUUGUCAAUUCCAAUUCAAGCUGAGUCCAGGAAGAGGCUCCGCUGCUUCCAAAUGCUAGCACACUGCCCUCUUGUGGGAGACCCUGAACACUGCAGAGCUUUACACUUCGAAUCUCAUCUAGUGAAUCUAAUUUCAUUUCCCCGAAGCCAAACAUAUCCUUAGGCAGCAAAUAUAAAAUAUGUUUUACUUUACAAAGUCUGUUAGCCCUUCAUAGCUCCUUCGUAAUGCAUAAAUCUGUAAAACGUUUGCUUGGUGUCAAUUACUUAAUUCAAAUAAGGAAUUCCUGUACAAUCUCUUCAUGGUUAUUAUGGUGAAAGCUGGUUGGUGCUCUAGAACUGAAUAUGUGCAGAGAAUUGUUAAACUCAAAAGCCAGUUUCCCAUCUCACCUCUGGAAGCCUCAAUUCGUCAUGUUUCAAAUGGAGAUGGCCUGAGGGCAUUUCAUAGGGAAAUGGCUGGAUCGGUUUAGGAGCCCAAACGCUGCUAGAAUUUUGUUUUUUCUGGAAUGCCUUAUGAAAUCGCCUUCUUCUUUGAUACAGUUAAAAUAGGCUGUUAUUAGAGCUA